rnacentral:lncRNA from 1 species
UUGCGGGACUAAUUUCUUUUCAAUUAAUUUUUAAACUGAGCAUGGCCUGAAAUCAUUUUGAAUUACUGAUAGACUGAGUGAAGGAACAUGGACAUUUCACUAGGAAGCAUGCCAUACUGUAUAUUUUAAUACUCAUAAUAAAUAAGCCUGAAAAGAGUGCAUAUUUACAUUUUCUAGAAUUAUAUAUUUUUUUCCUUUCCCUCCUAUUCAGAAAGGAAAUGUGUGAUAAACUUGGAAAGAAAAAGACAAAAUAUCACUUGUAAAUCACAUUAAAGGACAAGUACCAAGCUUGAUGUAAACAAGCUUCUCCCUUCUAAUACAGGAGUCAUCUGCCAAACAAAGUAAUGCCCACUCCUACACACGGUACUCACCUUUUCCAUGGCUACCUGCACUUCAAGACCAGGUCUGGAUUCUGGACCUGUAUCCAUAUAAAUACUCAUUCAAGUAAAGACUUGGAUGUAUUGAAAUCCAAAGUGGAAAAUCCUGGAGCAGUUCAACGUCUCAUCUGCCUCUCCAGACAUAGUCUUUCAAACUUCUGGAAUUCAUCUGCCUCGCUGGAAGACUGA